rnacentral:rRNA from 1 species
GACGAACGCUGGCGGCGUGCUUAACACAUGCAAGUCGAACGAUGAAGCUGGAGCUUGCUCCGGUGGAUUAGUGGCGAACGGGUGAGUAACACGUGAGCAAUCUGCCCUUGACUCUGGAAUAACUGCGGGAAACUGUAGCUAAUACCGGAUACGAGACCUGAAGGCAUCUUCGGGUCUGGAAAGAAUUUCGGUCAAGGAUGAGCUCGCGGCCUAUCAGCUUGUUGGUGAGGUAAUGGCUCACCAAGGCGACGACGGGUAGCCGGCCUGAGAGGAUGACCGGCCACACUGGGACUGAGACACGGCCCAGACUCCUACGGGAGGCAGCAGUGGGGAAUAUUGCACAAUGGGCGAAAGCCUGAUGCAGCAACGCCGCGUGAGGGAUGAAGGCCUUCGGGUUGUAAACCUCUUUUAGCAGGGAAGAAGCGAAAGUGACGGUACCUGCAGAAAAAGCACCGGCUAACUACGUGCCAGCAGCCGCCGUAA